GUUAGCUUGCAAUAAUUAUUAUUUUGAUGGAAAACCAAAGGUAACUUCUUACGUCGAUAUUCCUUCUUAAUUCGCUCCAUAACGUUGUGGAAAAGGCGAUAACUAUGGCAAAAUGUGUCAACUCCUCUCUUGCGGCUGGAAAAAAAUCGGCACGUUUUCAGGCCUUGUGGACGGGUUUUGGUCAUUGGGCUAGACAUUUUUGAAACACCUAGCAACCCCGAUCGCAUUCUUCAGUAUAAAGAAACGCCAUAACUGUGCUGUCAAGAGGAUAACUUUUGUGUCCGUUUCUCUUCAUUACUGAAGAUUAAGUCUGAGGCCGGUAACAUCAACAGUGAGGACAAACCCAGCCUGCCUCUCUCCUUCCAAACUGAGUCCAAUCCUUCAGUCACUGGAUCCUGAUUGUGACAGUGGAGCCCAGUUUGCACUGCAGGAUCCAGAGAUGGCAUCAGUGAAGCUGGAAGACUGCAGUCUAACACUGGAGCUGAAUGUCAACAUUAAAGAUGAAGAAGAGGAGGAGAAGAUUGGGGAAUCUGUUUCUCAUGUGAGGACAAAUCCAGCCUGCCUCUCUCCUUCCACACUGAGUCCAAAUCUUCAGUCACUGGGUCCUGAUUGUGACAGUGGAGCCCAGUUUGCAC
rnacentral:lncRNA from 1 species